rnacentral:rRNA from 1 species
AUAUCAAUGAGCGGAGGAAGAGAAACUAACAAGGAUUCCCCUAGUAACUGCGAGUGAAGCGGGAAAAGCUCAAAUUUAAAGUCUGGCGGUCCCUGUGGCCGUCCGAGUUGUAAUUUAGAGAAGUGUUAUCCGCGCUGGACCGUGUACAAGUCUCCUGGAAUGGAGCGUCAUAGGAGGGU